rnacentral:rRNA from 1 species
UACGUAGGGCGCAAGCGUUGUCCGGAAUUAUUGGGCGUAAAGAGCUCGUAGGCGGUUUGUCGCGUCUGCUGUGAAAACCUAAGGCUCAACCUUGGGCUUGCAGUGGGUACGGGCAGACUAGAGUGCGGUAGGGGUGACUGGAAUUCCUGGUGUAGCGGUGGAAUGCGCAGAUAUCAGGAGGAACACCGAUGGCGAAGGCAGGUCACUGGACCGCAACUGACGCUGGAGGAGCGAAAAGCAUGGGGAGCGAACAGG